ACAAUGCACGAAAGUGUGAUAGGGUUAUCCCGAGUGCCGUCCGAUGAGGAUGGCUUUUACCUGGUGUAAGGAGCCAGGGGAAUAAAGGGGGGGCAAGACUGGCGUCAGCCGCCGCGGUAAUACCAGCCCCCUGAGUGGUAGGGAUGAUUAUUUGGCCUAAAGCGUCCGUAGCCGGCUUAGCAAGUCUUUCGUUAGAUCCAGUGACUUAAUCAUUGGGCUGCGAGAGAUACUACUAGGCUUGAGGACGGGAGAGGUCGACGGUAUUUCGGGGGUAGGGGUAAAAUCCUAUAAUCCUCGGAGGACCACCAGUGGCGAAGGCGGUCGACUAGAACGUGCCUGACGGUGAUGGACGAAAGCUGGGGGAGCAAACCGGAUUAGACACCCGGGUAGUCCCAGCUGUAAACGAUGCGGGCUAGGUGUUGGGGCAGCUACGAGCUGCUCCAGUGCCGCAGAGAAGUCAUUAAGCCCGCCGCCUGGGAAGUACGGUCGCAAGACUGAAACUUAA
rnacentral:rRNA from 1 species